CUCAGGCCUCCCUUUCUCCCUCCUACCUCCACCUGGCUCCACCCUGUCUGGUGGAUUCAAACCAGGUGAGUAGAGGGGAAGUCUGACGUCCCCUUCUGCCGCAAAGAGCUGCCUGCCCCCGCAGGCCCGGCCUCCCCAAGCACAAGUGCGAUCCCAAGAUCUCCUCGCUGAGUUUGGAGGCUUCAUUCCCACCCGGCACAAUGUCAGGCCCUGGGCUACAUAGAUGGGACAAGAGGUUCCAGGAAAUGGAAUAUGGUAAGCAGCCCAACUGUUGCGUACGGGAAAGUAGACCCAGUCUGAAAUCUGCCCCACGAACUCCCAGCGCCCUGUGAUGCCACUCCUAGAUUUCUCCCAAAGCAAGUGGAAAUGGACCUAACAAGUCCAAACAGUCACCUGCUCACAGCGGCAUGAUUUGCAACAGCCAGGAGGUGGGAACGGCCCAGCGCCCACCAGCGGAUGCACGGCUCAACAAAACGUGGAGGAUCGUGCCGCGCUGGCUCGUUUCAUGCACCGGCUUGGCCGGAGCAUGUGGCCAAUGUGAGAGUGCUUCUGGAGAGGAACACUUGAAUCUGUGCACAGAGUAAAGCAGAGCCGUCCCCAGCGUGGGUGGGCCGCACCCAAUCAGCUGACGGCCCGAAAAGCACAAAAAGGCGGAGUAAGAGGGAGGUCCUCCUGCCUCACACUUGUCCGGGAACACAGCGCUUCUCCUGCCUUUGACGAUGGACUGGAGCACCAGCUCUUCUUGGGUCUCCAGCCUGCUGACUUUGCGACAAAAACUUAACCAUCAGCUCUCCUGGUUCUGAACCUGCAGCAGCCACUGUCCCUGGGCCGCAGCUUGCUGACCACAGAGCUGGGAUUCUCGGCCUCCAUAACCCUAUGAGCCAGCUCCUGAUCAGAAAUCUCUUGACACACACGUGCAGCCUCUUGUUUCUGUUUGUCUGGAGAACCCAGACUGAGUACCCAUGAUGGAAUAUUAUUCAGCCCUGAAGAGGAGUGAGGCCCGACGCACAGCAUGGCCAAACGUCACCCACAGGAGGCUGAGUGCAAGGAACCGGCCACAAAGGCCCCUCACUGUCCCGAACAGGUGUUGUUUUAGAAGAGGGAGAGAACUCCCGGCGGUGUCUGAAGUCUCCAAGAAGCUUGUUGGGUCGUGGGAUCCUCCGAUGCGGCAGCGUGGGCCUGGGGGUCCUGCUGCUCCCCAGAGUCGCCGGAGCCCCUGGCAGCUUGAAGGAAGCCCACAGAGGAGGAAGGGGCCCUCGGAGCGUUACACCAGGCAUGUGGGAGACGGGGCCCUGCCUGUGCCCCAGCGAACGAGGGCCCGGGGGAGGCCAGCCGCUGGCCGCAGACUCUGUCCUACCCUGCCCACCCUGCAGUCCCCUCCCCAGGGACUCAUCCCCACCUGCCUGGCUCUGAAGCACUGGCUGAGAGUCCCACCCGUUUUUCUCCCUAGGGCCCAAACCUGCUCCCUGACUCCAGAGCCCCGACAGCCAGCAGGCCCUCCCUCGACCCUGGCCCUCACUCCCCGACGUCCACCCUGAGCUGGCCUAUGCUGACAGUCCCACCCUCGGAAGGAUCCCCAUUUGGACACCACAGGCCUCCCAGAGAGGACACGGCCCUGGCUUAGGUCAUCUGUUAGGGCUCAUCUUUGCUCCCCCCAGAAUUUCUACCUUGAGACCCGAGGCUGCAGGACCUUGGGAUGGGCGGUAUUGGGAGAGCUCAUCAAGGUAGCGUGAGGUUGUUUGGCUAUACCCUACUCCAGCCGGGCCGGUGUCCUUGUGAGGAGAUGAGGCCACAGACACGCAUUUGGGGCCGCCAGGUGGGACGUGGGAGGACACGGCCGUCUGCAAGCGCAGGACGAGGCCCCAGCAGGAGCCAGCCCAGCCCUGCCCGCUCCCGGGGCUCAGCCGCCAGCCUCCAGGAAGGGAGGACAUUCGCUUCUUCGGAGCCUUGUGAAGGCAGCCCCAGCAGAAGAACCAGGGCCAAAGGCAUGUCCCAGGGGCCACAGCGCCAGCAGCCCCAGCCCGCCGGCCCUCUCCCUCCACAGGAGGCUUGCGCUCUGCAACGCUCAAAGCCACGAACCCAACACCAGAGCCGCCGCUGGCCUGAGGCUUCCUUCCUUUGCUGGUUUGAACCGGGGACUUUCUUCAGUGCUGUGUCUUCCAGCGGACAUGUAAUGCAAGCCACAAACCCAACUUUAAACAUCUCAGUAGCCACAUUAAAAAAGUGAAAAGAAACCAAAAAAGCUUAUUAAUAUACUUCUUAGAUAAUCCAAAAUAUCCAAAAUAUUAGCAUCUCAACAUGGAAUCGACAUACUCAGUUCAUGAGAUUGUUU
ensembl:lncRNA